rnacentral:rRNA from 1 species
GAUGAACGCUGGCGGCGUGCCUAAUACAUGCAAGUCGAGCGACGCGGGCACGGGUGAGUAACACGUGGAUAACCUCCUAUAAGACGGGGAUAACUUAGGGGAACCGGAGCUAAUCCGGAUUCUUAAAGAUUGAGCCGCUGUGCAUUAGCUAGUUGGUCAGGUAACGGCUUACCAAGGCAACGAUGCAUAGCCGAUCUGAGAGGGUGAUCAGCCACACUGGAACUGAGACACGGUCCAGACUCCUACGGGAGGCAGCAGUAGGGAAUCUUCCGCAAUGGGCGAAAGCCUGACGGAGCCACGCCGCGUGAGUGAUGAAGGUCUUCGGAUCGUAAAACUCUUUUAUUCGGGAAGCGUUACCUACUCAGAAAGCCCCGGCUAACUCCGUGCCAGCAGCCGCGGUAAUUC